GGGCUCGUGGUCUAGUUGGUUAUGACGUCGCCUUGACAUGGCGGAGAUCCGGAGUUCGAAUCUCCGCGGGCCCA
rnacentral:tRNA from 3 species